UACGAAGGGGGCGAGCGUUGUUCGGAAUCACUGGGCGUAAAGGGCGCGUAGGCGGGUCUUUUAAGUCAGGGGGUGAAAUCCUGGAGCUCAACUCCAGAACUGCCUUUGAUACUGGGGAUCUCGAGUCCGGGAGAGGUGAGUGGAACUGCGAGUGUAGAGGUGAAAUUCGUAGAUAUUCGCAAGAACACCAGUGGCGAAGGCGGCUCACUGGCCCGGAACUGACGCUGAGGUGCGAAAGCGUGGGGAGC
rnacentral:rRNA from 1 species